rnacentral:rRNA from 1 species
GCGGCGCACGGGUGAGUAACACGUUAGGCAAUCUGCCUCCGAGUGGUGGAUAACCUUCCGAAAGGAGGCUAAUACAGCAUAAGACCACGGGUUCGUAGAACCUGAGGUCAAAGCGGACCUCUUCAUGAAAGUUCGCGCUUGGAGAUGAGCCUGCGGCCCAUCAGCUAGUUGGUAGGGUAAUGGCCUACCAAGGCUAAGACGGGUAGCUGGUCUGAGAGGACGAACAGCCACACUGGAACUGAGACACGGUCCAGACUCCUACGGGAGGCAGCAGUGGGGAAUCUUGCGCAAUGGCGAAAGCCUGACGCAGCGACGCCGCGUGAGCGAUGAAGGCCUUCGGGUUGUAAAGCUCUGUGGGGAGAGACGAAUAAGGUGCAGCUAAUACCUGCAUCGAUGACGGUAUCUCCUUAGCAAGCACCGGCUAACUCUGUGCCAGCAGCCGCGGUAA